rnacentral:tRNA from 1 species
GAGGGUAUAGCUCAAGUGGUAGAGCACAUACUUAGCAUGCACGAGGCCCUGGGUUCAAACCCCUGUACCUCCA